UACGUAGGGCGCAAGCGUUGUCCGGAAUUAUUGGGCGUAAAGAGCUCGUAGGCGGCUUGUCACGUCGGGGGUGAAAGCCCGGGGCUUAACCCCGGGUCUGCAUUCGAUACGGGCAGGCUAGAGUGUGGUAGGGGAGAUCGGAAUUCCUGGUGUAGCGGUGAAAUGCGCAGAUAUCAGGAGGAACACCGGUGGCGAAGGCGGGUCUCUGGGCCGUAACUGACGCUGAGGAGCGAAAGCAUGGGGAGCGAACAGG
rnacentral:rRNA from 1 species